rnacentral:rRNA from 1 species
AUUGAACGCUGGCGGCAGGCCUAACACAUGCAAGUCGAGCGAGCGGCGGACGGGGGAGUAAUGUAUGGGGACUGCCCGAUAGAGGGGGAUAACUCCUGUAAACGGUAGCUAAUACCGCAUACUAUCGGAUAACCCAUAUGGGAUUAGCUAUUAGGUGAGGUACUGGCUCACCUAGGCGCCGAUCCCUAGCUGGUCUGAGAGGAUGAUCAGCCACACUGGGACUGAGACACGGCCCAGACUCCUACGGAGGCAGCAGGGGGGAAUAUUGGACAAGGGGCGCAAGCCUGAUGCAGCCAUGCCGCGUGUAUGAAGAAGGCCUUAGGGUUGUAAAGUACUUUCAGUCGGGAGGCGUUACCGGCAGAAGAAGCACCGGCUAACUCCGUGCCAGCAGCCGCGGUAAUUC